CGCCAGGCUGCACUGUGGCCCCUGUGGCAGAGAAGCCCUCCCCCCGGCAGGGCUGUGAGCAUGAAGCCUUUCUCAGGACAGAAUGACAGGGAGAGGGGAACGUCCCUCCUCAGAGGAGGGCGUGGGGGCCCUGGAGACCACAGCCAAGAGUGGGAGUGAGGGCACAGCCUGGGCCUCACGCUUAGGGGUGUAUCCAGGGUCUGAGGGAGGGUUCAGAGUGUGAGGGGUGCAGGGUACACUAGCCAGCCCCACCUCCUGCCUGGGUGUUUCUGCCUGUUGAGGGUCUUCUGAGGAGCUGUAGGCCCACCUCGCCCGCAUCUCCGACAGGCUGCACCACAGAGCCCUGUUCUGCUGACCGGGACGCUGGUGAAAUGGGAGUUUCGGAGCCGCUGUGGGCUCCUGUCCAGGCUGGGUCAGUGCUCGGAUGGGGCCUGGCAUAGGGCGGGCGUGAACAAAAGCCAGCCUCUGGUCUGGGGCUGGUGUGUGGGCCUCUGGGCCCUGGUGAUGUCUGAGUUCAGGGUGCAGUUUGCUCGUGGGUCCCCAGAAGUGGGAGCGAGUGAGAUGUGUUGGCCUGGGAUGAGAGGACUGGGGCUGUCCUGGUCGGCCCUGCCCUGUUCUAUGGACCGGGAGGAGGUGAGGCUCAGCCGCCAGACACCCCAGGCUUUUGAGGCCCAGAUAGGGCCGGCCCAGAACAGGCCCAGCAUGGCUGCUCCCAGCCUCAGUCUUAGCUGUUGGCGCCUGGGAGGGCCCAGAGGAGCCAGGACUUCCUGCAGGCACCACAAGGGGGCCGCAGAGAGCGAGCAGCCCGGCUGGCUGUGGUCCCAUCUGGGGACCU
rnacentral:lncRNA from 1 species